rnacentral:rRNA from 1 species
AAUAAAUGCUUAUUUAAAAAUGAAGCGCAAAUCUAAAAGUGAUAAAAAUAAUUCUCCAUGUUUAAUUGCAAGUAAUUAAUAAAGAAAGCUAACUGGAAAAUGAUAGAAUAAAAGUACUGUGAAGGAAAGCUGAAAUAAAUGAAAAUGUAAUUGAGACAAAGUAUAAAUUAAAUUUAGUACCUUGUGUAUCAGGGGGCUUAAAUAAUCAAUUUAAUAAGCUAACACUCCCGAACUUUAGUGAGCUAGUUGUUAAAAUUAGUUGACGUAGUAUAGUCAUUAAUAAUUGACCACUAGAAAUGAAAUUUUAUACGCACUAACAGGUAUCUGGUUUACUGAUAAGAUAAUUCAAUUUUACUUUUAAAUAUAAAAUGAUUAAAAAGGUAGAAUAGGAGGGAAAAGCUUCUUGUUCUUUAAUAAACCUAUUAUGAACAAUAAUAAAACAAAUCACUCAACUAGGCUUAGAAUUAGCCACUUUUAAAAAUAGUUAUAUAUUAUGCGAAAAAUCUUAAGAUUUAAAAUUGCUCUAAUAAAAAUUAUCAGUAAACUCAAUCUAAUUAAAAAGUUGACGUUUAUAAUUAAACCAUUAGUAUAAAAAUCUGUAAUAAAACAUCUCUCGUUUAUAAACUAAAUCUUUAAUAAAAAACAUUUUCAUUAAGGAACUCGGCAAUUAUCUCUUCUGCCUGUUUAUCAAAAACAUGUCCACUUGUAUAGAUGUAAGUGGUCUGGCCUGCCCACUGAUAGUUAAUUAAAGGGCCGCGGUAUCCUGACCGUGCGAAGGUAGCAUAAUAAUUAGUCUCCUAAUUAGAGGCUUGUAUGAAUGGUCGGACAAGAUGAGAACUGUCUCUGUGUAAUAAAUAAAAUUUAAUAUUUAAGUAAAAAAGCUUAAAUAAAAUGAAGGGACGAUAAGACCCUAUAAAGCUUUAUGAUAAAGUUAUCCUCUACGGAAUAAACAUUAUUAAACUAGUUGAUAACGCAUAUCAUUUUACUGGGGCGGUAAAAGUAUAACAAGAUUAACUGCUUUUGUUUUUACAAACAAUUAUAAUUGAAAACAGAUUGAUCCAUUAUUAAUGAUCACAAGAACAAGUUACUUUAGGGAUAACAGCGUUAUUUUUCUUGAGAGUCCUCAUCGAAAGAAAAGUUUGCGACCUCGAUGUUGAAUUAAGGGUCACCUUAAGGUGCAGCAAUUUUAAAGGUGGAUCUGUUCGAUCUUUAAAUCCUUACAUGAUUUGAGUUCAGACCGGCGUAAGCCAGGUUGGUUUCUAUCUUUCAUAAAACGCUAGUUUACUUUAGUACGAAAGGAUUUAGUAAACCAAAUAAUUUGGCUUCGUUGAAUAAUACUAACAA